AUUUUUUUAUUUUUUUUUAUCUCUACAAGAUCUCAUUCCACUCUUAACUACUGCCACAAACAUUUUUGAAUUAAGUAACUUUUUUUGAGUUUCAUUAACUGAAAUACAAUAAGUUUGAUGAACAUUAGAAAGAAGUUUGGAAUGUUGGUUGGAAUUAGUAGGUUUGUUGAACUGAUGGUUGGGAUCUGAUAAACAGAAAUACAAAAGUUUAGUAAACUGUAGGUUUGGAACCCAAAGGUUAGGAUGUGAUAAACAGGAAUGCAAAAGUUAGGUAAACUGUAGGUUGGAAUUUGUAGGUUUGGAACGCGAAGGUUGGGAUGUGAUAAACAGGAAUGCAAAAGUUUGGUUAACUGUAGGUUGGAAUGUGUAGGUUUC